rnacentral:lncRNA from 1 species
AAAACAACAUUUAUAUUCCAUCAUUAAGGUUUGAAUACAAGGUUCUUACAAGUGAUAAUAGAUAGUAGUUGCCUUAAACAAGUAGGCAAAUACAAAAACUAGAUAGCUAAGUCGUCUGAAAUCCACGACAAAUCUUCCGUCUGAAAGCUUGUCUAAGGAUCCCCUGAGAAUACAUGUACGUUUGAAAGUCAACACAAAGGUUGGUGAGUGUCACAGGUUUUCUGCUAACACAGUAAUACUUUUAUUAAGUCUAAAAAGUAUUAUCUUUGUAUGUAUAACAACAGUUAAAACAGUGUUUGCAAUGAGUCUUCAAAAGCCAAAAUGUAUAGUUUGUAUAAGUAAACCCAUACGUAAAACUGUGUUUGUAAUGAAUCUUUGAAAGCCAAAAUGUUAUGUUCCAUAAGUAACCACAUACUUAAAACUGUGUUUGAAAGCAACCAAAUCCAUGGUUGUAAGGAUAACGAAUAAAGUUUUCUGCCAAGGUUGUACUUAACAACCACAGAUACGGAUAAACAAGCAUACGGAUAUGCGGAUACAGUUAUCUGCUAAGGUUGAACUCAACAACCACAGAUACUGAUAAACAACAAGUAUAUUUGAUAAGUAUACACGUAAAUUGUACGAUACUUGUUUAAACAGUCGACAAAACCUAGUAUAGUGUACACAAGCACAUGUAUGAGCCUAAGAUACAAGUUCUAUAAAUUGUAUAAAUGUAUAAACCUAUAUAUUUACGUCAUAAAUAGACAUACGGAUAUACAGAUAAAGUUAUCUGCCAAGGUUGAACUUAACAACCGCAGAUACGGAUAAACAUGUAAUUUAUAAGUAUAUUUGAUAAUCGUAGACAUUGAAGAGUACGAUACUUUUUUAAACUUUGAGUACAAGCACAUAAUUGAGUCUAAGAUACGAGCUCNNNNNNNNNNNNNNNNNNNNNNNNNNNNNNNNNNNNNNNNNNNNNNUGGGGCCAUAACACUCACCUUAAAGUGUGGUUGGCGACUAUUUGAUGCGAGAAAAAAGGACCUAGAGUUGUUGCCGUGAACACGAAUCGUCGAGAUUUAUUUAGUUUCCUAGGAAAUAUUAAUAUAAAUUAAUUUGAUUGGUAACUUAACCAAAACAUAGGGUCCAGUUACUAAUUAAAGUAAAUGAGACCAAGUUGGUUAAUAAUUUUUAAAUAAGAAUUAAAAUAUUAUAUUUAAAUUUUAAGUUUUGAUAUUCAGAUUUAUUUUGAAAAUAAAUCACAGGAAAUGGUUCAAUGUAAAUAAAUAAAAAAAUUAGUUUAUGUUUUAGGACUAGUUUUAAAACUGAUUUCUAGGAGAGGGGUAAGUUGUGUACAUUUAAAUUCAAGUUCCAAUGCCUUAGGACUACUUUUGAAAGGAUAUUUGGUUUGGGGGUUAAAAUAAUUAAUUCGGUAACAAUGUUUGAUUUAAAAAAGUUUGGUUUAACAUACCUCAUGUUAGUCGCAACUAUUCAUCACCAAAAUAAUGAUCAAUAGAGAUGGCAACGGGGGCGGGGAACACAGGGGACCCCAAUCCCCAUCCCCAUCCCCGAAUUCUCAUUUCAAUCCCCAUCCUCAUCCCCAUCCCCAUUGGGGAAUAUAAAUAAACCCCCAUCCCCACCCCCAACGGGGACUGGGGAUCUCCAAUGGGGAAACGGAGAUUUCUUUAUCUCUUUUAACAUGCAAACUUUUACGUAAGAAAAAACUCUAAAUUUCAAUUUUACCAGCAUAAGUUUAAAGAUUUUAUAAAAUAUAUAAGUACCCAUAAAUUGCAGAAAAAAUAUAAAUAAAUUUUCUACCAAAUUUAAAUACAUACAUCAAAAAUCAAGUAAAAAAAAUUAUCAGAUUGAUAUUUAAGGUAAAAUAGAUCAACCAAAGAGAAAAAUAUAUAUAUACACGAGUUUAAAUUAGAUAAAAGAAAAAGCAAAAAGUAUAAUUUCAACCAAGUAAUUACUAAUGAGUUAGGUUACUUAGAUCAAAUUUUAUGUAUUAUAAAUUAUACUAUAAAUAUACGUUCUGUAUUAUUUUUAUAUAUUAAUAUAUGUCGGGGGCGGGUACAGGGUUGGGGAUUAAGGGUAUCCCCAUCCCCAUCCCCAUCCCCAUCCCCAUCCCAACUUUUUUUAUUCGGGUAUUCCCAUCCCCGUCCCCAUCCCUGGUCAACCUGGGGAUUCCCCAGUCAAAACGGGUGCGGAUUUCGGGUUCCCCAUUGGGUAUGGGGAUUUUUGCCAUCCCUAAUGAUCAAUCAGAAACGUAAAUGGUCCUAUUUAUAUUUAUUUUUAAAACAAUUUUGAAAGGGAGGGACUAAAGUUGUUCAAGUUGGAUAGACAAGGGUUUAAUUUAAUUAAAAUUGAAUGAAGUUUGUUAUUUAGGUGUUUAAACAGGAGGUUCCUGAGUUUGGUUCUCAUGCCCGACGUAAUACAAAAACGAACGAAGCUGUCGAAGCAGGUCCCCGGCUUUAGUAGUUGCAAUCGAAGGAACAUUAAACAAACAACAAAAUAUAACGGAGGGGGUGGUGAUGACUUACAGCAGGUGGAGGCGGUGGUUUGAGGCUGUAAUAGUGAUGGCGACGGAGGUGGAAGGAAGCUACUCCGGUGGUCUUCUGCCGCCGGUUUCUUGCUUAAAACGGUGGGGUUCGAUGCAGGGGAGGUGGAGAGACUCUUGGGGAUCGAUUUCAGCAGCAACCCAAGGUGGAGGUGGGUUUUUCCGGGUGAUGGCAUUGGGUGGCCGAGUGGUGGCAGUGGUUGGUUUGCCUCCUGUUUUGAGCUGGAACUGAUAGAGGGAGAGAGGGAGAUUUAAGAGAGAAAUGGAGUUGUGUG